rnacentral:rRNA from 1 species
AACGAACGCUGGCGGCAUGCCUAACACAUGCAAGUCGAACGAGACCUUCGGGUCUAGUGGCGCACGGGUGCGUAACGCGUGGGAACCUGCCCUUAGGUUCGGAAUAACUCCCCGAAAGGGGUGCUAAUACCGGAUAAUGUCUUCGGACCAAAGAUUUAUCGCCUUUGGAUGGGCCCGCGUUGGAUUAGCUAGUUGGUAGGGUAAAAGCCUACCAAGGCGACGAUCCAUAGCUGGUCUGAGAGGAUGAUCAGCCACACUGGGACUGAGACACGGCCCAGACUACUACGGGAGGAAGCAGUGGGGAAUAUUGGACAAUGGGCGAAAGCCUGAUCCAGCAAUGCCGCGUGAGUGAUGAAGGCCUUAGGGUUGUAAAGCUCUUUUACCCGGGAUGAUAAUGACAGUAACGGGAGAAUAAGCUCCGGCUAACUCCGUG